rnacentral:sRNA from 1 species
AACUUUAUAGGGAAAAGCUCAGAAUUAAUGAAGAAAUAAAACUUCUAAAACAGCAGCAGGAAAGAAUUGACAAGGAGGUUGAUAGACUCCAAGCAAAGGCUACCAAGAAACCUCAUGAAGUGAAACAAGACUUUGAGAAGUUCCUACAUAAACUGCGUUCUGAAGCUGAAAUUGAGAGAGAAUGUGUGGCAUCACUAUCGUCAUCAUCAUCAUCAUCAACAGACAACCACAACUUUGAGGAAGAAGAAUACUAAGAGAAACCAGAAAUGAACUCUAUUCAAGAAUAAUGCAUACAAUUCAGUGGUAUCAGUUUAAUUGUAACAAUAUAUUUAAUUCAAGUCCAAUCCAUGUAAUCAGUAUUAAGAGUGUGUUUUACCAUUCAUCUUUAAAAUCUUCAAAUCAAUAAAUUUCAGUAAAUUAUUCUUAAAA